AACGAACGCUGGCGGCAGGCUUAACACAUGCAAGUCGAGCGCCCCGCAAGGGGAGCGGCAGACGGGUGAGUAACGCGUGGGAAUCUACCCAUCCCUACGGAACAACUCCGGGAAACUGGAGCUAAUACCGUAUACGUCCUUCGGGAGAAAGAUUUAUCGGGGAUGGAUGAGCCCGCGUUGGAUUAGCUAGUUGGUGGGGUAAAGGCCUACCAAGGCGACGGUCCAUAGCUGGUCUGAGAGGAUGAUCAGCCACACUGGGACUGAGACACGGCCCAGACUCCUACGGGAGGCAGCAGUGGGGAAUAUUGGACAAUGGGCGAAAGCCUGAUCCAGCCAUGCCGCGUGAGUGAUGAAGGCCCUAGGGUUGUAAAGCUCUUUCACCGGUGAAGAUAAUGACGGUAACCGGAGAAGAAGCCCCGGCUAACUUCGUGCCAGCCGCCGCCGUAACAC
rnacentral:rRNA from 1 species